CCGCGGGAACACCGGCGGCCCGAGUGGUGAUCGUGAUUAUUGGGUCUAAAGGGUCCGUAGCCGGUUUGGUCAGUCCUCCGGGAAAUCUGAUAGCUCAACUAUUAGGCUUUCGGGGGAUACUGCCAGACUUGGAACCGGGAGAGGUAAGAGGUACUACAGGGGUAGGAGUGAAAUCUUGUAAUCCCUGUGGGACCACCUGUGGCGAAGGCGUCUUACCAGAACGGGUUCGACGGUGAGGGACGAAAGCUGGGGGCACGAACCGGAUUAGAUACCCGGGUAGUCCCAGCCGUAAACGAUGCUCGCUAGGUGUCAGGCAUGGCGCGACCGUGUCUGGUGCCGCAGGGAAGCCGUGAAGCGAGCCACCUGGGAAGUACGGCCGCAAGGCUGAAACUUAAAGGAAUUGGCGGGGGAGCACAACAACGGGUGGAGCCUGCGGUUUAAUUGGACUCAACGCCGGACAACUCACCGGGGGCGACAGCAAUAUGUAGGCCAAGCUGAAGACUUUGCCUGAAUCGCUGAGAGGAGGUGCAUGG
rnacentral:rRNA from 1 species